AAAUUGAAGAGUUUGAUCAUGGCUCAGAUUGAACGCUGGCGGCAGGCCUAACACAUGCAAGUCGAGCGGUAGCACAGAGAGCUUGCUCUCGGGUGACGAGCGGCGGACGGGUGAGUAAUGUCUGGGAAACUGCCUGAUGGAGGGGGAUAACUACUGGAAACGGUAGCUAAUACCGCAUAACGUCGCAAGACCAAAGUGGGGGACCUUCGGGCCUCAUGCCAUCAGAUGUGCCCAGAUGGGAUUAGCUAGUAGGUGGGGUAACGGCUCACCUAGGCGACGAUCCCUAGCUGGUCUGAGAGGAUGACCAGCCACACUGGAACUGAGACACGGUCCAGACUCCUACGGGAGGCAGCAGUGGGGAAUAUUGCACAAUGGGCGCAAGCCUGAUGCAGCCAUGCCGCGUGUGUGAAGAAGGCCUUCGGGUUGUAAAGCACUUUCAGCGGGGAGGAAGGCGAUAAGGUUAAUAACCUUGUCGAUUGACGUUACCCGCAGAAGAAGCACCGGCUAACUCCGUGCCAGCAGCCGCGGUAAUACGGAGGGUGCAAGCGUUAAUCGGAAUUACUGGGCGUAAAGCGCACGCAGGCGGUCUGUCAAGUCGGAUGUGAAAUCCCCGGGCUUAACCUGGGAACUGCAUUCGAAACUGGCAGGCUAGAGUCUUGUAGAGGGGGGGUAGAAUUCCAGGUGUAGCGGUGAAAUGCGUAGAGAUCUGGAGGAAUACCGGUGGCGAAGGCGGCCCCCUGGACAAAGACUGACGCUCAGGUGCGAAAGCGUGGGGAGCAAACAGGAUUAGAUACCCUGGUAGUCCACGCCGUAAACGAUGUCGAUUUGGAGGUUGUGCCCUUGAGGCGUGGCUUCCGGAGCUAACGCGUUAAAUCGACCGCCUGGGGAGUACGGCCGCAAGGUUAAAACUCAAAUGAAUUGACGGGGGCCCGCACAAGCGGUGGAGCAUGUGGUUUAAUUCGAUGCAACGCGAAGAACCUUACCUGGUCUUGACAUCCACAGAACUUUCCAGAGAUGGAUUGGUGCCUUCGGGAACUGUGAGACAGGUGCUGCAUGGCUGUCGUCAGCUCGUGUUGUGAAAUGUUGGGUUAAGUCCCGCAACGAGCGCAACCCUUAUCCUUUGUUGCCAGCGGUUAGGCCGGGAACUCAAAGGAGACUGCCAGUGAUAAACUGGAGGAAGGUGGGGAUGACGUCAAGUCAUCAUGGCCCUUACGACCAGGGCUACACACGUGCUACAAUGGCAUAUACAAAGAGAAGCGACCUCGCGAGAGCAAGCGGACCUCAUAAAGUAUGUCGUAGUCCGGAUUGGAGUCUGCAACUCGACUCCAUGAAGUCGGAAUCGCUAGUAAUCGUAGAUCAGAAUGCUACGGUGAAUACGUUCCCGGGCCUUGUACACACCGCCCGUCACACCAUGGGAGUGGGUUGCAAAAGAAGUAGGUAGCUUAACCUUCGGGAGGGCGCUUACCACUUUGUGAUUCAUGACUGGGGUGAAGUCGUAACAAGGUAACCGUAGGGGAACCUGCGGUUGGAUCACCUCCUUA
rnacentral:rRNA from 1 species